CUUACAUCAGCGAAAAAGGUAAAAUAAAACAACCUCUGUACUGCCUCUAAUCUCUCCAAUAUUCCACCAUCUGCUGACUUUUGACAUUGGCAUACCUAAGACCCAAUUGACACCACCGUCUGACAGAAACCUCUAAUGUCUUGACCUAGAGCAUUUCUCCACUAAUCUCCAAACUCUCCUUUUACCUAUCUCAAAUCUCACCUGUCCU